CACUUUUUCCACGCCCCAACGGGAUGAGUUCAUAUGAUCAGGUUUAACAACUACAUAGAGAAUUUCCGUAGCUGGCACUUUAAUGAGUCACAAUUUAUUUAGAGGUUUAUACAGUGAGAAGUGUAUCCGUUUGUCAAGCAAACAUAGAUGCUCCUUGAACGAAAGCUGAUAAAAUUACUUCUGUGAAUUCGGCACACCCUUUUGUUGCAGACAAAAACCGCGGACAAGAGACAACAAGCAACAAAAAUAAAAUGAGAUUUUUUUGAGGGUAUAACUCCCUGUAACUGGGCAGGAAAUCAGUAUGGACAAUCUGGUAGCAGCCGCAAUACCAGAAACCACCGCCGCCUUAAGGCACCUACUUUCCUUACGAUGCAUUCGUCUGCCAGCCAGGCUCUACGUCGAGCGAUGGAAACUAGAAACCCUGAAAAUGCUCCCGAACGAGAUAUCCUAUACGUAGUAGCAGAAAAUUUCUGCUCUCGCGGGAUAAGAGUAGGUCAACAGUGGCUACUUUAUCCUUGGAUUGAACUGAUGAUUUUGCGGUACAAAGCGAAAUUUCGACUUAACGGGA